CAUCAAAGCUCCAACCAUGAGUGAAGAUCCCACCAACGCUAGAGAAACAUCCUUUGCAUCUUGACAGUUCCGGACAAUUUCACAAAGGAGAACCAUUAAAGUCUCAAGGGCCAUCAUGGCUAAGAGGUCAGUAUCAAAGAUUGCUGAAAAAAGAGCUAGUGAGGUCAUAGUUUCUGCAUCUGAGAUAACCAUCUUCAACACAAUGUCCCCUGUAACAACGCCACUCAAACCAACGAGAAGGUUUUUCUUUCCCAUAAGCCACA
rnacentral:lncRNA from 1 species